GCCCGCCUAGCUCAAUCGGAUAGAGCGUCAGACUCUUAGGAGGGCGGGUUUACUACCAUUCCAAUAUCUGAAGGCUGCGAGUUCGAUUCUCGCGGUGGGCU